rnacentral:rRNA from 1 species
CGGACGGGUGAGUAAUGCUUGGGAAUCUGGCUUAUGGAGGGGGAUAACUACGGGAAACUGUAGCUAAUACCGCGUAGUAUCGGAAGAUGAAAGUGCGGGACCGUAAGGCCGCAUGCCAUGGGAUGAGCCCAAGUGGGAUUAGGUAGUUGGUGGGGUAAAGGGCCUACCAAGCCUGCGAUCUCUAGCUGGUCUGAGAGGAUGGCCAGCCACACUGGAACUGAGACACGGUCCAG